GAAGCCCGAAUCUGAAAUAGCUGCGGCGGCCAGGGGUAGGGUUGUCGGAGGUGCCCCAGUGGGCCCCCAGAGGAUAGGCGGGGAUAGACGCUCCUUCAGCCUGUGGCCGCCUCCCGGCGUCAGCCGCGCGUCGGCAGUCGCUUCUGCAAGUCCCUUCACUUUUCUGGGAAGUUCCUUACUGCUACCCUGGGGCUUGAGCGGCCUUGGUGCUGAAAUGCUGAAAUGUGGGAGAAAUGACCCAUACCUAAGAAGGAGGGGAAAAUGCAAGGGAACGUGGUGAUAGAACCAGCUAGUACUCGGCGAGAGGCGCCUUCCCUUUCAAAAGUCGCCUCAUUCAUGGGUAGCCAGCGUUCCAGUCUCAGUUCAUUCCCCGUUGUGUAGGCUUGGGCACGUUAUGUAAACUCUCUGUGCCUCGGUUCUGCACGAUGGUAAUGAUAGCAGCCGCUUCGUAGAAGAGCAGUAAGGUUUAUAAGAACAUCUGGUUCAUAAUAAGGGUUUGGUGUUGCGACUAUUACAGCCUCUCCCAGAGCACUCCCACAACUUGAUCGGACAUGAUGUCUUUUGGCCUGUCCCUUUGACCACAACCUGCACCAGUUCUCGAGAGUAAAGAAACCUAGUGGAAAAAAGUGCUGACUGAGGGUUUCACAUGAUAAUGGAAAACCCCCAUCAAGAGGUAGGCAAACUGCCUCCAAAAAAGGUGAGCUGUGCUUGCCACCGCGAAUUACUUGUACAUGAAUAAUAACAAAAGGUAACUUCCAGGAAAGGUCAAGUGAAAUUGUAAUUUAUAAAUUAAAAGUUGAAAAGUCGUAAAAGAAUAGGCAUUUUGGCACCCUCCUCUCUCCCUAGGGAGCUGAUUCAAAAACCUCUUAAGUUCUUUAAAAUCUUUAACUGCCCCGCUUCCUAAACAAGGAGAGACUGGAAGAGGCAGACCACUCUAUAAUGACUAGGGGCAAGUUUAAUAAGCAACAGAACUUAACAGGAAGCUUGUCUUGGGCAGCUACAAAACAGCGAUCUCUGCACCCACUCGCUAGAAUCUUUUGAGUUUAUGCAGAGGCCUUAAGGGGAUUUAAGGCACAAAACUGUCCCGUUGGUUUCAAUAACACAUUACUCGGUCAAGGCAAUGUUCUUCAAACGGCUCCCGGUACAGGAACAGUGCGCAAAAGGUACUUUUCAAGGUCAGGGGAAAGGGUAAGGAGCGUCUCUGCCUGGGGCUUACCCGUGGUCACAUCCUCUCCAUGACGUUCUCCCACACUCCCUACGCCUAAUUUCGUUAGGUGACCCUGAUUCUGGUUUAAAUGGAAGUUAUGCUGAGCCUAGGGAACCUGAAGCGGGAUUAGAGGCGGCUAUGAAAAAGCACGUGUCGGGCGCCUGGGUGGCUCAGUUGGUUGAGCGACUGCCUUCGGCUCAGGUCAUGAUCCUGGAGUCCCGGGAUCGAGUCCCGCAUCGGGCUCCCUGCUCGGCAGGGAGUCUGCUCCUCCCUCUGACCCUCCCCCCUCUCAUGUGCUCUCUCUUUCUCAUUCUCUCUCUCAAAUAAAUAAAAUCUUUAAAACAAACAAAAAAGCACGUGUCUUCCUCCUGUAGAACGCGGGAUAAGGAACGCCUUCGGGUCUUCGGGCCAGGCCUCCUCUGCAGGCGACUUCCAGAGAGACGGGGGGGGUCGGGGAGGAGAGAGGGAAGAGCGCGCGACCGCAGCAAGGGCCCGCCUCCGGAAGGUGCCACACUGGACUUCCGGGGCCCCCUGGUCCUCCGCGUACUUCCGCCCUAGCCUCCAGUCGGCCAGCCUCGCGGGAAGCCACGCCCGUUUCAGCGCUUCUCCGCCCCGUGGCUCUCCUCUGGCCACGACGGCAGCAUGGCGGGCGCGGAAUUGCGGGCAGCGCUGGAGCAGCGGCUCGGCGCCCUAGCCAUCCCUACAGAGGUCGUGGAGCACGCGGAGGUGAGGCGCCUCCGCUGGGACCCCCCUGCGGGAGAGGUGGGCUCCGCUGCGGCGUCUCUCGGGCGGGGCCGUGAAGACCAGAUACCCCAGCGGUAAGGUGUUUACAGUUGAAGAAAUGAUGCCUCAUAUCCAACAUUUGAAAGGAGCACAUAGUAAGAACUUAUUUCUUAAAGACAAGAAGAAAAAAGGCUAUUGGCUGGUGACCGUUCUUCAUGAUAGACAAAUUAAUUUAAAUGA